rnacentral:lncRNA from 1 species
CCAGCUCUGCACAGUGCGAAUCCCAAGUUUUCAGGUGACUAAACUAGAAGAUCGAAGUCACCAGAACCAUUUGGAGAGGCUGCUGAGCCCAUAGCUCCUGCUAGGAAUGGUGUGCACCUUGCAGUUUAUGAGGAGGAGCUGUGCUGUAUUGAGAAACUGCAGCUUGCUGCUGUCAUUAGUGCCAUGGGGAACUUGCUGGAGCCAUUCCUGACCUGUAAAUCCUGAACCAGAAGAUUGGGUAGAGCAUGACACCUCCCCACCCCCCCAGGGGUUGGGAACAGAAGUGUUACCACCCACGCCUUCUACAACAGUGGACACACACCUAAGGUGAGAUAGCAUUUGGAAUGUGGCUGGGUAGCCAUGAGAAUAAAAU